AAAGACUUCAAAAGCCAAGCUUCAGUAGUUCUUCAAAUCCUAACACCACAAAACAACAACGGCAAGAAUUCUACCGUGAAAUUGACGAUCCAAUAAAAUAAAAAUAAAGACAAAGCCUCAGGCAGAAAAAUCUUCAACAAAAAUCAGGUAUGAAAAAUAUCAGUCAAACCAAUUGUUGCCUUUCGCAUCAACAACGCCAUGCUUCAGUUCUUCUUCUUCAAAUCCUAACACCACAACAACAACGGCAAGAAUUCUACCAUGAAUUUGACGAUCCAAUAAAAUCAAAAUACAGACAAAUCCUCAGGCAGCAAAUCUUCAACAAAAAUCAGGUAUGAAAAAUAUCAGUCAAACCAACUGUUGCCUUUCGCAUCAAAAAGGCCCAAGCUAAUUCAAUCCGUGAAAAUUCCAAAACUGAAAUCCAAAAACCAAUCAUACACGCACCGACAUCAUAUCACAUGUGAGAUGAUAUGAAAGCUUUGAUCAAAUAAAGGAACCAAUUUCACAUAAUAACACAGAUCGCAAAUCACAAAAGCAGAGACGAAAGAAAAACAACGAAGAAGUUCGUAUCAUGGAAGCCUACACACGAGAAGAGGAACAAAAUUACCCAUCGCCUGGAUCCAUUCCCAAAGCCAAGACGAUCGAAACCGGUUUCGUAGACGUCUUAUUUAUAGAAAG
rnacentral:lncRNA from 1 species